rnacentral:lncRNA from 1 species
UGUUCAAGGUUUAUUGGGGGUUUUAGUUGGUAUGACACUUGGAUAGUUGGUUGUAUUGUUUAUAUGUAGAUCUUUUCACAUUAUAUUGUAAUGUACACUAUUGACAUAUAUAGAUCACAAAAUAAGAUCCUUUGGAACAAUUAUGCACAAGACAUACGAUACUGGAUUUAUACACUGGAUCCCAGGAUGUGACUGAUUGGGAAAGAAUGUUGGACUAGAAAUGUCCAGUGAAGGAGCCAGGAAGUUAUAUAAGACACACUAAACAUCCAUCUGGCUCAAGGGGCAACUGCAGCAUGUGCAGCAUUGGCAGUGGUGCCUCAGAGGUGGUAGAACUAUUUCAUACUGACCAGUUUAGGACUACACAAGAUUAGUACCAUCUAGCAUCAGGAUAUAGCUGUAGGAUUUUACAAACCAUUCCUAUGUCCAACUUCAGGAAUUGAUGUUUUUCCCAGUGGAUCUUAAAAUAUAACUGCUUUGAUCACAGAUCAGAUAAAAAGGACAACAUGCACAACCUCCAACUAAAAUCCUAUUGUAGCCUAGACAGUGAAAUGAUCUGACAUCAGAAGACUUUAAAAUUGCAGGUUUUUUGGAUUCCCCAAAGUGUAAAUGCACUCUUCUUCAAACAGAUCUCUUCCUCAGGAGUCAGACUCACCUUCACAAGAUCUGAGAUUCCAUUCUGUCCCAAAAUGCAAGGAACAUUAAGGAAGACAUUAUCCUUUAUUCCAUAGAGACCCUUAAUCAUGGUGGAAAUUAGGUGCAACCGCCUAAGAUUCUUCAUUAUACUUUCUGCCAAAUCUGCCACAGAGGGUCCAAUGUCCCAGCCUUUGAGUUUGAUCACCUCAUAAGCACUCUCAACCACCUACUUGUGAACCUCUUUCCACUGUUACUUAUCUGUAUCAGUCCCUAAAUCUGGGUGCAGAGUCUUCAGGGAGACAUCAGCAACAUUCACUCCACUCCAUACAGGCACACUGGAAUCUCCACGUUCCCCAAGGACCUACCCAUGACAGCUUAAUGGGUGAACUCCCAGCCCUUCCCCCAUCAGGUAACGGAAUCGGGCUGAAUCCAGAUUGCAACCACUUCCAAUAAUACAGUUUUUGGGGAAGCCACUUAUCUUCCAAGCCACAUAGGUCAAGAUAUCCACUGGAUUUGAAACAAUAAGCAAAUUGCAGUUCGUGCUGUAUUUUACAACAUUAGGAAUGAUGAAUUUAAAGAUGUUCACGUUAGGCUGGACCAAAUUAAGACGGCUUUCUCCCUCUUGCUCACAUGCCCAAGCAGUGAUAAUGACCAGCUUGGAAUUUGCAGUUACAUUAUAGUCUUUGCCAGAGACAAUCUUUGGUGUUCUAAGGAAAAGGCUGCCAUGUUAGAGAUCCAUCAUCUCUCCCUUCAGUUUAUCUUCCAGUUAA